UACAGAGGUGGCAAGCGUUGUUCGGAAUUACUGGGCGUAAAGGGCGCGUAGGCGGCCUUCUAAGUCAGACGUGAAAUCCCCCGGCUUAACCUGGGAACUGCGUCUGAUACUGGGAGGCUUGAGUAUGGGAGAGGGAUGUAGAAUUCCAGGUGUAGCGGUGAAAUGCGUAGAUAUCUGGAGGAAUACCGGUGGCGAAGGCGGCAUCCUGGACCAUUACUGACGCUGAGGCGCGAAAGCGAGGGGAGCAAACGGG
rnacentral:rRNA from 1 species